ACCGCCUCCUCAUGGAAAAACAAAAAGUUCGCAACCGCCUCGGUGCCACUUCUCGCUCCUUUCCGGCCACGCCACGCCACGCAGACGCGAUCACAGCCUCCCCGCACCACCGAUACCUAGCGCCGCCUCGUCCCCCGCCGUCGACGCGCCUCCGCGAGACGGGACCCCGCCAUGCCGAUCUCAUCCUCCCUCUCCGCGCGCCUCGGCCCCGGUCCCGCUCCCGCGCCCGCACAGUGGGGCCCUUACGCCCGCCCCUCCGAACCCCGCAGGACCGGCGCCGGAAGCGGCUGCGCCAAGGCCUCCCGCCCGCCCCUCCGCCUCGAACCCGCGACGGAGAGACUCCUCGGGCCCGCGCGGAGGGCUGAAUCCCGCGGAUCGAGUCGCGGCGCCGCAGCCCCUACACCUGCACGACGGCGGCUUGGAGACCUGAAGAAGUCGGACCCGAAGACUGAUCCCAAGCCGGCGGGGACGAAUCCAGAGCCGAUCCAGGAGCCGCGCGUCGAGGAGAGCCGUGGCUGCGGCGGUUUCGCUUUCCUCUGCGCCCUCGCUGGACACGAGGAGGCUAUUACUGGAAUCUCUAUGCCGAUGGGGUCCGACAAGCUCUACUCUGGCAGUGCCGAUGGCUCUGUUCGCGUAUGGGAUGGCAACUCUGGCAAGUGCGUUGAUGUCAUCAAGAUGGGAGGGAAGAUUGGCUGUAUGAUCACACAUGACAAGUGGGUAUUUAUUGGAAUCCCAAAAUCCGUGGAGGCAUGGAACACACAGACAGGGAUGAAGCUAAGUCUUCAGGGACCUUCUGGGCUUGUUUGUUCCAUGACUAUCAAGGAUGAGAUGCUGUUUGCUGGCACGGCGGAUGGACGCAUCAUGGCUUGGAAAUUUCCUGCUAAGGAGAUCAACUCGGAACCGGUGUCAAUCCUCGCUGGCCAUGACCGUCAUGUGAUUACACUUGCUGUCUCCGCAACAAGGCUUUACUCUGGCUCACUUGACAAGACAAUCAGAGUAUGGGACCUUAAAAAUCUUCAGUGUGUCCAAACACUCUCUGAGCAUAAAGCUUCUGUUACUUCUGUGCUUUGUUGGGAUCAGAAGUUACUAUCUUGCUCUCUGGACAAGACUGUAAAUGUCUGGGCUGCUUCAGAUUCUGGAAACCUUCAACUCAUGCAUACCCAUUCCGAGGAGCAUGUCUCCAUUUCUGGAAGUUGUGACUCCAUCUGCAUUCGGUCAAGCAUUAUAGUUCGCACAGUAUGGCCUUUGUUACAUGCCUGGCACGUAGUAGGUGUUCUUCCUAGUAUGCUGCGAAUUUAUCUUGUGCUAUCGAGCAGGAGAUAAAGGGUUUGAGCCUAAUAGAAGCUCUCUUUCUUGGGAACUUUAGAUGGCUGCUAUCAGUCUGCUGAGCUCAUCUGUUUCCCUGAAGAGUUACGAUGGGAGUAUCAAAUAGACAUGUAUCAGCAACGUCAUCAGUCUGCUGAGCUAAUCUGUUUCCCUGACUGAAGAGUUAGUAUGGGAGUAUCAAAUAAAAGUGUAUCGGCAACGUCAGAAUGGUUAGGAACCUUCAUACAACAGUUACUAGAGGCAACACCAGAGCAAUUCAUUCUUCGAAAGCCUGAAUAUCGCUGUUGAUAUUUUUAUAUAUUGUCCGGUUGUUGGCUUUCUCAAUAUUUCCCUUCCUGGAAGCAUGUUUCUCAGUGUACGUUUGUAAGCUCUGUUGAGAUGUAUCGCAUGAUGCUAGUGCCCUUGAUAGACUUUCUGCUUUGCUCUGGUUCUUGGGCAAUGGGAGUACGCACCCUCUUUGGCAUGCAUCGUCCGGGAAAGACGCCGGUUCUGCUCUGCUCCCUCCACAAGAGCAACUGCGUCCGCAUGUUGGGCCUGCCAUCGUUCGAGGAUAUUGGCACGCUCUCCUCCAAAACAGAAGUGAA